rnacentral:rRNA from 1 species
CACGUAGGGCGCGAGCGUUGUUCGGAAUUAUUGGGCGUAAAGAGCUUGUAGGCGGUUUGUCGCGUCUGCUGUGAAAUUUCGGGGCUCAACCCCGAACUUGCAGUGGGUACGGGCAGACUAGAGUGUGGUAGGGGAGACUGGAAUUCCUGGUGUAGCGGUGGAAUGCGCAGAUAUCAGGAGGAACACCGGUGGCGAAGGCGGGUCUCUGGGCAGUAACUGACGCUGAGGAGCGAAAGCGUGGGGAGCGAACAGG